rnacentral:lncRNA from 1 species
CUGGGCAUAGUGAGCAUAUUAGAAGAGAAGGAUGACUUAUGGUGUCCUCUUCUGACUGGCAUCUUUUGUAGCAAAGCAUACUGGUAGUGUGAUGUACUGGGCAUCCUCUUCAUCUCCAUGACUCGAUUGUGUGGAUGCUUAUGGAUGCAUCCAUUCUAAAGCUUUGUAAUAUAGCUGGUCUCAACCACAACAACAACAACAACAAAAUAAAAAAAGGACAAUUAUGCCUAAACUCCUGGCAUUUUCCUAAUGAUUAAUCCCCUCAAAAUGCAAAUAAGAAUAAUUUUCUGACAGAAUACAGCACUGACCUAUGCAACCUGCCAAAAGCUUUUGCUCGAGGGUGAGCUCAUGUAAGCUGCAAGCAUGAAGCGACUUUGCAGGACUCUUCC